GGUCCGCGUUCCAUUAGCUUGUUGGUGAGGUAACGGCUCACCAAGGCAGCGAUGGGUAGCCGGCCUUAGCGGGUGAUCGGCCACACUGGGACUGAGAUACGGCCCAGACUCCUACGGGAGGCAGCAGUCGAGAAGCUUCCACAAUGGGGGAAACCCUGAUGGAGCGACGCCGCGUGGGUGAUGAAGGUUUUCGGAUCGUAAAGCCCUUUCGGCAGGGACGAAGACGUUGGUUGCGAAUAGUUUCCGACGGAAGACGGUACCUGCAUAAGAAGCUCCGGCUAACUCCGUGCCAGCAGCCGCGGUAAGACGGAGGGAGCAAGCGUUGUUCGGAUUUACUGGGCGUAAAGGGCGUCUAGGCGGAUUGUCAAGUCAGGUGUGAAAUCCCUCGGCUCAACCGGGGAACUGCACUUGAAACUGACGGUCUUGAGUACGGAAGAGGAAAGCGGAAUUCCUGGUGUAGCGGUGGAAUGCGUAGAUAUCAGGAAGAACAUCGGUGGCGAAGGCGGCUUUCUGGUCCGAUACUGACGCUAAAGCGCGAAAGUGUGGGGAGCAAACAGGAUUAGAUACCCUGGUAGUCCACACUGUAAACGAUGGACGCUAGGUGUCGGGG
rnacentral:rRNA from 1 species